rnacentral:tRNA from 1 species
GGGCCGGUGGCUCAGCCUGGUUAGAGCGUUCGGCUGAUAAACGAAAGGUCGAGAGUUCAAAUCUCUCCCGGCCCACCA